rnacentral:rRNA from 1 species
AACGAACGCUGGCGGCAGGCCUAACACAUGCAAGUCGAGCGCUGUAGCAAUACAGAGCGGCGCACGGGUGAGUAACACGUGGGAACGUGCCCUUUGGUUCGGAAUAACUCAGGGAAACUUGAGCUAAUACCGGAUGAGCCCUAACGGGGAAAGAUUUAUCGCCGAAGGAGCGGCCCGCGUCGGAUUAGCUAGUUGGUGGGGUAAAAGCCUACCAAGGCAACGAUCCGUAGCUGGUUUGAGAGAACGACCAGCCACACUGGGACUGAGACACGGCCCAGACUCCUACGGGAGGCAGCAGUGGGGAAUCUUGGACAAUGGGGGAAACCCUGAUCCAGCCAUGCCGCGUGAGUGAUGAAGGCCCUAGGGUUGUAAAACUCUUUCGGCGGGGACGAUAAUGACGGUACCCGCAGAAGAAGCUCCGGCUAACUUCGUGU